rnacentral:lncRNA from 1 species
AAAUUCUACCCCAUUGCUGUAGUUUUCCUCCUCUUUAUGUAGCUACCACCCACCCCCUAAUCAAAUUUAGGGUUAGGUUAAGAGGGGAGGUGGGCUGCGGGCUGUUAAAGCCCAAUAUGAGCUGAAUCUGUGGGUUGCCAGCCCAACAAUAGAUUCUAUCAACUUCUCCCCCUUUGUCAUCAAAAACUUUGCAUGAAGAAG